UACGAAGGGGGCUAGCGUUGCUCGGAAUUACUGGGCGUAAAGGGAGCGUAGGUGGACAGUUUAGUCAGAGGUGAAAGCCCAGGGCUCAACCUUGGAAUUGCCUUUGAUACUGGCUGUCUUGAGUACGGAAGAGGUAUGUGGAACUCCGAGUGUAGAGGUGAAAUUCGUAGAUAUUCGGAAGAACACCAGUGGCGAAGGCGACAUACUGGUCCGUUACUGACGCUGAGGUGCGAAAGCGUGGGGAGCGAACAGG
rnacentral:rRNA from 1 species